rnacentral:rRNA from 1 species
UAGGGAAUAUUGGGCAAUGGGCGAGAGCCUGACCCAGCCAUGCCGCGUGCAGGAAGAAGGCGCUACGCGUUGUAAACUGCUUUUUUUCGGGAAGAAACAGCUUCUGCGGAAGUCACUGACGGUACCGAAGGAAUCAGCACCGGCUAACUCCGUGCCAGCAGCCGCGGUAAUACGGAGGGUGCAAGCGUUGUCCGGAUUCAUUGGGUUUAAAGGGUGCGCAGGCCGGAGAGUCAGUCAGGGGUGAAAGACGGUUGCUCAACAAUCGCAGGGCCCUUGAUACUGCUCUUCUUGGGUUAUCUUGAGGUAGGCGGAAUGGGUGGUGUAGCGGUGAAAUGCAUAGAUACCACCCAGAACUCCGAUUGCGAAGGCAGCCUACUGGGGGUUUACCGACGCUCAGGCACGAAAGCGUGGGGAUCAAACAG